GCACCUGUAGCUCAACUGGAUAGAGCAUCAGCCUUCGGAGCUGAGGGUUGGGGGUUCGACUCCCUCCAGGUGCACAA
rnacentral:tRNA from 1 species